UACGGAGGGCGCAAGCGUUGUUCGGAAUCACUGGGCGUAAAGCGCGUGUAGGCGGCUUGGCAAGUCGGAUGUGAAAUCCCGAGGCUCAACCUCGGAACUGCACUCGAAACUGCCUGGCUCGAGUCCCGGAGAGGGUGGCGGAAUUCCCGGUGUAGGGGUGAAAUCCGUAGAUAUCGGGAGGAACACCAGUGGCGAAGGAGGCCACCGGGACGGUGAAUGACGCUGAGACGCGAAAGCGUGGGGAGCAAACAGG
rnacentral:rRNA from 1 species